rnacentral:rRNA from 1 species
CACGUAGGGGGCAAGCGUUGUCCGGAUUUAUUGGGCGUAAAGAGCUCGUAGGCGGCUCAGUAAGUCGGGUGUGAAACCUCCAGGCUCAACCUGGAGACGCCACCCGAUACUGCUGUGGCUUGAGUCCGGUAGGGGAGCGUGGAAUUCCUGGUGUAGCGGUGAAAUGCGCAGAUAUCAGGAAGAACACCCGUGGCGAAGGCGGCUCUCUGGGACGGUACUGACGCUGAGACGCGAAAGCGUGGGGAGCGAACAGG